GAUGAACGCUGGCGGCGUGCCUAAUACAUGCAAGUCGAGCGAACGGACGAGAAGCUUGCUUCUCUGAUGUUAGCGGCGGACGGGUGAGUAACACGUGGAUAACCUACCUAUAAGACUGGGAUAACUUCGGGAAACCGGAGCUAAUACCGGAUAAUAUUUUGAACCGCAUGGUUCAAAAGUGAAAGACGGUCUUGCUGUCACUUAUAGAUGGAUCCGCGCUGCAUUAGCUAGUUGGUAAGGUUACGGCUUACCAAGGCAACGAUGCAUAGCCGACCUGAGAGGGUGAUCGGCCACACUGGAACUGAGACACGGUCCAGACUCCUACGGGAGGCAGCAGUAGGGAAUCUUCCGCAAUGGGCGAAAGCCUGACGGGGCAACGCCGCGUGAGUGAUGAAGGUCUUCGGAUCGUAAAACUCUGUUAUUAGGGAAGAACAUAUGUGUAAGUAACUGUGCACAUCUUGACGGUACCUAAUCAGAAAGCCACGGCUAACUACGUG
rnacentral:rRNA from 1 species